rnacentral:rRNA from 1 species
AUUGAACGCUGGCGGCAUGCCUUACACAUGCGAGUCGAACGGCAGCGCGGACUUCGGUCUGGCGGCGAGUGGCGAACGGGUGGGUAAUACAUCGGAACGUACCCUGUUGUGGGGGAUAACUAGUCGAAAGAUUAGCUAAUACCGCAUACGACCUGAGGGUGAAAGUGGGGGACCGGAAACGGCCUCAUGCAGCAGGAGCGGCCGAUGUCUGAUUAGCUAGUUGGUGGGGUAAAGGCCCACCAAGGCGACGAUCAGUAGCUGGUCUGAGAGGACGAUCAGCCACACUGGGACUGAGACACGGCCCAGACUCCUACGGGAGGCAGCAGUGGGGAAUUUUGGACAAUGGGGGCAACCCUGAUCCAGCAAUGCCGCGUGUGUGAAGAAGGCCUUCGGGUUGUAAAGCACUUUUGUCCGGAAAGAAAUCGCGCUGGUUAAUACCUGGCGUGGAUGACGGUACCGGAAGAAUAAGCACCGGCUAACUACGUG